rnacentral:rRNA from 1 species
ACUCCUACGGGAGGCAGCAGUGGGGAAUAUUGCACAAUGGAAAAAACUCUGAUGCAGCGACGCCGCGUGAAUGAUGAAGGCCUUCGGGUUAUAAAAUUCUAUCCUUAAAGAAGAUAAUGACGGUACCCAAGAAGGAAGCCCCGGCUAACUACGUGCCAGCAGCCGCGGUAAU